UACGGAGGGUGCGAACGUUAAUCGGAAUCACUGGGCGUAAAGCGCGCGUAGGCGGUUUGUUAAGUGGGAUGUGAAAGCCCCGGGCUUAACCUGGGAAUUGCAUUUCAAACUGGCGAACUAGAGUGCGGUAGAGGGAGGUAGAAUUUCCUGUGUAGCGGUGAAAUGCGUAGAUAUAGGAAGGAAUACCAGUGGCGAAGGCGGCCUCCUGGAUCGACGACUGACGCUAAGGCGCGAAAAGCGUGGGGAGCAAACAGG
rnacentral:rRNA from 1 species